GAAGUGGAGAGCGGGAGAGUGGGGCGGAAGUGGAGAGCGGAAGUGGAGAGCGGGAGUGGGGCGGAAGUGGCGGCGGUCCCUCUGCCGAGGCUCGGGCCGGCGCCAAGAUGCUGCUGGUCCUGGCGGAGGAGCACAAGGAGCACCUGGGCUUCCUGACACGGGUGGACGCGGCCGUUGUAGGAGAAUUCUGUCGAAUUGCUGUGGAGUUUUUGAAGAAAGGCUCAAAUCCCAAAAUAUUUGAAGGCGCGGCAAGUAUGUAAUGUUUGAGGAAACGGGAAGCUGAAUGUGAAUACCGAAACAGUGCAAAAUGGUGUUGAGGGGCUGAUGUAUCUGAUGACGGAAAGCUCCAAAAUGAUGAUUUCCGAAGUGGAUUUCCAAGACUCUGUGCUUGUCCUGGGGUUUUCUGAAGAUCUAAACAAGUUGCUGCUGCAGCUUUACCUGGACAAUAGGAGAGAGAUUCGGCAGAUUCUGAGUGAACUGGCUCCUGACCUCCCGCAUUAUCACAAUUUAGAGUGGAGACUCGAUGUACAGCUAGCCAGUCGUGCCUUAAAGCAACAGAUCAAACCACUGCUGACCCUGAAGCUGCAUCUGGAACAGAAUGGCCGCCGCAAUGCCAGCGUGUUUCAGACUGACCCAGCCACCCUCCUGCACCUAAUUCGCAAGCUGGAGCAAGCGCUGAGCGAAAUGAAGACCAACCAUUGCAGGAGGAUCGUGCGCAAUAUAAAAUGAGGAUAUUGAAGAUCAUCAGUCCUCGUGUCAAACUGUGACGGCAGACAGAAUGAAAUCGAGGGAAACAUGCUAUUUUGUGUACUGGAUCUUUAAAAUUUGGACGCACUUUUCAGAACGACAGUGGGUUUCACUCUUGGUGUUUAUUGGAGUGCUUGAGCACAGGAGAAUUGCCCACAAAUAAAAUAUGUAACGGAGUAUUAUUAGCUGAAGUUGUCACGGUGCUCUCCCUAAAGUGCUUUAUAUUGAUCGCAAUCCACUGUUAAGAUCUAAUCUCCAGCUGGUCACACCUUGGGUAGAGAAGAAAUAAAAGUAGGGGAUCAGUAGCGGAAUAAUAAUGUAUAAAGAGGACUGUUGUAAUCCAUCGUAAAAGACCGCUAAAGUUAACCAGGGCUGGGGGAGGGUGGGAGAAUAGUUCUUAAAUGGGGACAAAAAGAAAGUAAGACUAAGGCUUCCAGGAUAACACUUAAUUUUCUACCUCUGGUGGGGGGAGAGGGUUUGAGCUUAAAUCAACGGCAGGACUGUCAGGAUACAAAUCCCCGCUCAGUCUGGUGGCUGCCAUGUUCAUGAAUUUGGGCCUUGAUUGUAUGCGACACAAAGCUCUCCACAAAAAAGGCACUGAAGUGGCAGCAUUGCUGGACGCAGGGAGGGAACUUGAUGUUAGAGAUUAGGAUGGGGGCAUUUUGCCGGUUUAGUUUUUGGAAAAGCUGCACUGAGGUUGGCAUUUAACAAGGCGCACGUUGGAUUUGCUGUCAAUGAACCAGGAUUUAGACUUGGACAAGCAGUUUACUACUUGGACUAGGAUGAGAGGAAAGGGGGGUGGAAGACGGGACAACAAUCCCAAGUAUAAACCUGUGAAUUUUAUAAUACUUACAAAGGAUGGUCUUUCUAAAUUAUUAUAUUUUUGCAAAUUCAGAAGCCAAUUGUCAGGGCAUUUAAUAUUGUUUAACUUUAUUUCCAGUUGUAAUUCUUACAUGACAAUCAUUACACAUGACUGGUAGAUCAAAGUCAUAAGCUAAAAUAAUAUUCAAACUGCCAAAUCUAAUUUGUUGGGGUCUAGUGUGCUAUGAAGCUUAAUUUGGAGUGCAGGUUCUAGUGCAUCCACAGUAAACUUAAGAAUGCUUUCUAAAUCAGUUGCAGGCUGUGUCAAUAACAGUUAAAUCAGAUUAUUAGUGCUUUUGAAAUGUUUAUUUUCAAUGCGGUAUAGUGUGGAUAAAAAUAAAAACUUUCCCCUGGAAGGACAUCAGCUGUACCUGGUGUGACCAUUUGGUUUCACCGUUGUAAUGUGAACAUUUGAACUACCUGGUUUGGACUUUUGUUAACUCGUUGCAAAGUCACUUCUGCCCAGACACCCGUGCCAUGAAUGUUUUGCUAAAUGGCAAUGCUUAUAGAACCAUGGCAAUAUCUUUGCCAGUCACAAUCCAUUGUAAGUGCAGAGAGGAAACCAGGAUUUUCAUGUUACUCUUAGUGACGUCAAUGUUAAGGUGAACAUUUUGCCUGUAGUGAUAAUGUUUGGGGCCUUGAUAUGAAUGCAGAAUUCAGCUAAUGUUCUUUCAUUGUAUUACCCAUUCAUUGUGCCAUAGACAAGCUCCAUUGAAAUUUUUUUUCUAAGUGCCGAGUGGUAGCUGUGAAGCAUUAAAGUGGAAACAUUAUGGCUACCUAAAAUCAUGCUGACCUACACCUCCAACAUUUAUGCUAAUGGCACAAGUUGAUCAUCUGUGUAUUCCCAUUUGAGUAUUUAAAACUAAUUCCUACCAUAAUCUAAAAUGGUGAUUGCAUUACUGGCAUUACAUUUCCCUUCAUACGAUACAUUUGGUCAAUGUGUUUUUUAACUUCAUAACUUUUUUCCCUACUGUUUGAAUUCUUUCCUGACUUUAAAGCUGGUUUUGUUCUGUGAUUUGAUUUACGAUGCCAGCCUAUAAACUAUGCUGAUAUAAUCAUGGAAGUUUAGUCCAAAAUAACUGGUACCUGUACCAGAUUUAUGAGAAGGCUUUGGGGAGGUCAAUAUUUGUACCUGAUAUAACAGAAUUGCCAAACAAUUGUUUGUGCCAAAAUGUUAUGCAGUAAGAAACCUUGUUCUGUUUAAACUUGAUUCUUAAUUCAUAACUCCGGUGCCUAAAAUGUCAUAAAAUUCUUUUGGAUUGUUUACUUUUGACUUCCCCGCUUCCAUGUAUAUUUAAGAAAAUUUGCUUGAUACAAACACGCCAGAUAUUGUGAUGACUACCAUUCAGUUGCUAUGCUGAGCUUGCUUAAUACUCAUUGUGCCACCACUUUGUUGUACCAUAAUGUACUGUACUUUAAAAUUAAUUGCUGUAGGAGAUAUUGUGAAAUCUGCCUUGGAGACCACCAUGGUUUCAGCAUAUCUGAAAAUACAUGCAUCUCAUGAUUUGCGUUAUAAACUGUUAAAGUGAGCUUAUCUUAAAUAUUUAGAGAUGAUAUACGGAAUAUUUUGUUUUAAUGUUCCUAGCCAUAUUUAGAAAGAUGGCUUGUAUACUUCUCAAGAUUCUUUGGAACUUAAGUUUAAAUAACAACUCACCAGAACACGGGUUGCGAAAAGCUUUCUUUGGCAGAACAUGCAUCACUAAGACUUGUUUUCCACGAUUGCUAAAUAGAAUAGGAAUGAUCCUUGGAAUUAUCAGAACCAUUUGAGGAAGCAUUUCCAGCUUUUGUGAAAGAAUUAUUCAUUAAUUUGUGGCUGUUGACAAACCUCUUGUAUAACUUUUUUGCUCUUUAGGAUCAUUUCAAUCUUGUUUCCAGAUUUUUGUUAAACUGCGUUCCAGUUACUGUUGCGUAAACAGUCUUGAAGUGUUCCUUAAAAGUUAGAGGUUUUCAUUUGUAAGAUUUAAUAAGUUUGUGGAUUGUGAGUGAUGGAUACAAUUGACAGCAGAGGGUCAGGAAGCUUUAGAUUACUUAUCUGCAGGAACAAAUGUGAUUGAGUAAUCUGGAUAUAACAGCUUUGAGUUGAUUGAAGCUGCUUCUGAGGAUAUGUAAUUAAAUGCAAUUUUUGUUUGACUUAAA